rnacentral:rRNA from 1 species
UACGAGGGGGGCGAGCGUUGUUCGGAAUUAUUGGGCGUAAAGGGCGCGUAGGCGGUGCGGUAAGUCACCUGUGAAACCUCUGGGCUUAACUCAGAGCCUGCAGGCGAAACUGCCGUGCUGGAGUGUGGGAGAGGUGCGUGGAAUUCCCGGUGUAGCGGUGAAAUGCGUAGAUAUCUGGAGGAACACCGGUGGCGAAGGCGACGUCCUGGACCGGCAUUGACGCUGAGGCGCGAAAGCCAGGGGAGCAAACGGG